CAGUAAAUAGUUUAAUAUUAAAAAUUUUAAUUUUGGGGAUUAAUGAUGAGCUUGGGUUCUUUACUGA
rnacentral:tRNA from 1 species